UACGUAGGGGGCUAGCGUUAUCCGGAUUUACUGGGCGUAAAGGGAGCGUAGGCGGUUCGGUAUGUCGAAUGUGAAAGCCCACAACUCAACUGUGGAAAUGCAUUCGAAACUGCCGGGCUAGAGUACUGGAGAGGAGAGCGGAAUUCUUGGUGUAGCGGUGAAAUGCGUAGAUAUCAAGAGGAACACCGGUGGCGAAGGCGGCUCUCUGGACAGAUACUGACGCUGAGGCUCUAAAGUUAGGGGAGCAAACAGGAUUAGAUACCCUGGUA
rnacentral:rRNA from 1 species